rnacentral:tRNA from 1 species
CGCGGGGUAGAGCAGCUCGGUAGCUCGUCGGGCUCAUAACCCGGAGGUCGUUGGUUCAAAUCCUUCCCCCGCAACCA